rnacentral:tRNA from 1 species
AGAGUAUAGCUUAGUAGUAAAGUACAUGCUCAGCAUGAAAAAGGUCCUGGGUUCAAUCCCCAGUACCUCUG